UACAGAGGGGGCAAGCGUUGUUCGGAAUUACUGGGCGUAAAGGGCGCGUAGGCGGCCUCUUAAGUCGAACGUGAAAUCCCCGGGCUCAACCCGGGAACUGCGUCCGAUACUGGGAGGCUUGAAUCCGGGAGAGGGAUGUGGAAUUCCAGGUGUAGCGGUGAAAUGCGUAGAUAUCUGGAGGAACACCGGUGGCGAAGGCGGCAUCCUGGACCGGUAUUGACGCUGAGGCGCGAAAGCUAGGGGAGCGAACGGG
rnacentral:rRNA from 1 species